rnacentral:rRNA from 1 species
GGGGUAUAGUUCUUCGGAACUAGAGACCGGCGCACGGGUGCGUAACGCGUAUGCAAUCUACCUUUCACAGAGGGAUAGCCCAGAGAAAUUUGGAUUAAUACCUCAUAGUAUAAUGAGUUGGCAUCAACACAUUAUUAAAGUCACAACGGUGAAAGAUGAGCAUGCGUCCCAUUAGCUAGAUGGUAAGGUAACGGCUUACCAUGGCUACGAUGGGUAGGGGUCCUGAGAGGGAGAUCCCCCACACUGGUACUGAGACACGGACCAGACUCCUACGGGAGGCAGCAGUGAGGAAUAUUGGACAAUGGGCGCAAGCCUGAUCCAGCCAUGCCGCGUGCAGGAUGACGGUCCUAUGGAUUGUAAACUGCUUUUGUACAGGAAGAAACACUGGUUCGUGAACCAGCUUGACGGUACUGUAAGAAUAAGGAUCGGCUAACUCCGUGCCAGCAGCCGCGGUAAUACGGAGGAUCCAAGCGUUAUCCGGAAUCAUUGGGUUUAAAGGGUCCGUAGGCGGUUUAGUAAGUCAGUGGUGAAAGCCCAUCGCUCAACGGUGGAACGGCCAUUGAUACUGCCAAACUUGAAUUAUUAGGAAGUAACUAGAAUAUGUAGUGUAGCGGUGAAAUGCUUAGAGAUUACAUGGAAUACCAAUUGCGAAGGCAGGUUACUACUAAUGGAUUGACGCUGAUGGACGAAAGCGUGGGUAGCGAACAGGAUUAGAUACCCUGGUAGUCCACGCCGUAAACGAUGGAUACUAGCUGUUGGAAGCAAUUUCAGUGGCUAAGCGAAAGUGAUAAGUAUCCCACCUGGGGAGUACGU